GACGAACGCUGGCGGCGUGCUUAACACAUGCAAGUCGAGCGGAAAGGCCCCUUCGGGGGUACUCGAGCGGCGAACGGGUGAGUAACACGUGAGUAAUCUGCCCCUGGCUUUGGGAUAGCCACCGGAAACGGUGAUUAAUACCGGAUACGACCACUUCUCGCAUGGGAUGGUGGUGGAAAGUUUUUCGGCCAGGGAUGUGCUCGCGGCCUAUCAGCUUGAUGGCGAGGUAAUGGCUCACCAUGGCUUCGACGGGUAGCCGGCCUGAGAGGGUGACCGGUCACACUGGGACUGAGACACGGCCCAGACUCCUACGGGAGGCAGCAGUGGGGAAUAUUGGACAAUGGGCGGAAGCCUGAUCCAGCAACGCCGCGUGAGGGAUGACGGCCUUCGGGUUGUAAACCUCUUUCAGCAGGGACGAAGCGCAAGUGACGGUACCUGCAGAAGAAGCACCGGCCAACUACGUGCCAGCCGCCGCGGUAACAC
rnacentral:rRNA from 1 species